AAUCUAUAUUCGUAUUUUAUGUCACUGCCACCUUUAAACUAGCUGAGUUUACCGAAGUAGCUAGCUAACUAUCAGUUUAACAUGUAGCAUGUACUGUUUAACCAUGAAAUUUAAAUGUAAAAUACGGUAAAAUAAUUAAUAGGGCAUAUUUAGAUGGGUAAUAGGGUAAAACCCAGUGCAUUUAAGAUAAAAAUGGGUUGAAAUAUGACGGAGCGCUAAGAGGGAGACUUCUGUGUCCAUUCUUCCAUCCGGUAAUCCCCAGCGGUCAGCCUGACCGAUACGGCGCCUACUUGCUGCGCCUAGCUGCUGCGCGGUCUGACCGCUCGUGGAGUUUUUCAUGUCUGACUUUAACCGCAUCUAAUACUGUAUUACGGCGUGAGCGCAACAGCGACAACUUAAUAUCGAUGUGUAAGCAGCCUGAGUGGUAGGGUGUUUUCAUCUGAACCCUUAAAACCUCCAGCAGGCUAUGCUGCACUAUUGACGUGUUAGCGCGCGGCGCUAACAACUUAGCAACGUGACAUGUCUCUGAGAAAGCGUAAAACACGGACGCUUCUUCUGAAGCGGAAAAUAACACCUCUUCUUAAGCAGAGCAGGAUGUCGCCUCGGCUCGUUCACGGCCGAGCCGGACUGAGCUCGAUAACAUUGACCAAGCACAGCCACUGGGCCGUUGUAGCUGCCACCAGGCCUGCUGAAGGAACUCCAGCGGGUUUCAUCAGACUCGUAAAGUUUCUUGUUUUUGCUGGGGAUUUCUGUAUUUUACCGCUCCCUCCUGCAGUCUUCCCCUAUUAAAAUUUAAAAUGUGUAACUUUAUGUAUUGUGAUGAAUGACUAAUAUUCAUGUUAAACUGAAACGUUAGGCAUUUAGGGGGAAAAACAAAAUAAUAAACAUUAUACAGAUGUCAAAUAAAUCAAACUGUAAUUAAACUAUAUAUUUUCAAAGUCAUAUAGACAGCAUGAUGGUUUGUGUGAUCCGUGCGGUUUCACUUACACCCCUUUAAUGAUCAGGCUGUUUUUUAUUAUUUUUAUCAGCUGAUAGCAGUUAAAAUUAUGGUAAAAAAUAAUUUUAUCUGUUUUUGAUAACUUAAUGCCCAGGAAGAGCAUCUUCCUGGGCAUUAAAUAUAACCCAAAUGUUUUAUUAUGAGCAGAUCUGAUGAAGGUUUAGACAAGCAGUCUGCAAAGUAAAACUUGUUUAGAGUCCAAACUCUUACUAAAGCUUUUGAAAAGAAAAAAUGGUUGAAUUUUGAGAAAUAUCCACAACAGGGGAGCGAGACCUCUGAAAAAUGUAUAUUUUCUCUGAAUUCAUAGAAUAAUGUGAAGAUUCUGGGAAAAGUUGGGAUUCUGAGAUUAAAACGUAAAUCUUUCUAAUCAUAAUUCUGGCAGUUUUUGUGUCCUUCUGCUGUGGAAAGUCGUGCAACAUGAAGAUACUGAGAAGAUGCUUACAACCUGUAUUUUUAUUCCAUCCAUAAAUAAAAUCAUGAGCUAUUUUUUUAAUCCAAAUUUGAUCCAAAGGGCCAUCGUUGGUUCCAGACCCGUUCUAGAACAUUCCUCUAAUCUUAGUCAUCAUCAGUUUCUUCCUUUUAACAAAUAUUUAUUUGUUCAAAUAUUUAAUAUUUAUAACUGGAAUAUUUGUUCCUCCCUCUCCCACUGCAGUUAGUCCUGUCCUGCAACCCUGUUUUUGCAGCUUAGUGAAGCCAACCAUCACUAACCUGGGGGUGGUUUUGGACCCAGAGAUGCGGAUGGACUCCCACAUUAGCCAGGUUGUUAGAUCCUGCUUUUCCCGGCUUCGCCAGCUACCAAAGAUGAAGUCCAUCCUGAAAGACGUGUCAUAUUUUCUCCCCAAGCUGGACCUGACCGUCAUGUAUCGGUCCAAAAUAGUGUGAUGAUAUUGUGUUUUUUGUACAUAACAGACUUUUUAACAGACAAAUUUGUCGCAUUCUCCUACACCUCUUCACGGGCUCGCCACAGUAAAUAUUCUAUUUGGCAAGAGAUAAACUUUAUUGUAUUUAUCCUAGUGAAUCUAUAAUUAAACGGGUAAACUAGUAGUAGCACAUCCAACAUCAAAGAAAGUAAAAUGUUAUUAUCAGGAGAGGGAGAAUGUUUAAGUGGUUAGCAGCAGUGUGCUAGCCGAUGGCCCCCUCUAUGAGGCCACCACAACUCAGCAGAGCAUCAUUGUAGCUUCUUCUGGGGAGAAAAACACUUAGAGAGAAAAUAAAGUUAACAGCUGAAAUAGCAGGAAAUAAUACAGUUAAAGAGCAGAUUGUAGAAGAAAGAAACCCCUGGGUUAAACUGGUCUGUCUACUGCAUAAUGCUGAACUCUAACAUGUGUCCUCAGGGAAGGACCUGAUUGGUGUCCAGAACCUGCUGAAGAAGCACCAGGCUCUGCAGGCUGAGAUCACAGGUCAUGAACCUCGCAUCAAGGCUGUCACCCAGAAAGGAGAGACCAUGGUGGAAGAAGGUCACUUCGCUGGUGAGGAGGUGAAGACUAAACUGUGGGAGCUUCAUGGACGUUGGGACACGCUGAAGGCCAAGGCGUCCCAGAGGAGGCAGGACCUGGAGGACUCUCUGCAGGCCCAGCAGUACUUUGCGGAUGCUAAUGAGGCCGAGUCCUGGAUGAGGGAGAAGGAGCCCAUCGUUGGAAGUCCAGACUAAGGGAAAGACGAGGACUUGGCCGAGGUAUGGAAGUCCCUUCCUGAGAAACUCCAAUCGCUUUUCUUUGCUCUCUUUCCAGUCCUUCAUAAUUAGUGUUUCUGUAUUUGGCAUUUCCUUCGGUUGUCUACCAGACGUCGUUGCUCGUUUAAGCGUCUCAUGGGUUAGGGGUAGAAGUGCUGGCCUCGCACAGGAAGUGAUGACAAACGUGUUCCCGUCGCUCUUAUUUCAAACGGUUUACAAGCUGUGAUGUGUGUUCCCGCUGCAGAGCAGCCAUGACACGUGGCAGCCGGCAGAAGGCUCACGCUUUUCCACUAAACACCCGCAGAGCUACGUCUGCGGUGAACUGAGCAGGGUUUGUUUUACGGUGGCGGAUCCGAUUGGACCAUCGCUGCGAGAAAGCUCCACUUGUGUCAGACGAGCUGAAGGUUCUGAUGUUCUGCUCCACAGGCUCUCCUGAAGAAGCACGAGGCCCUGAUGUCGGACCUGUCGGCUUACGGCAGCAGCAUCCAGGCCCUGAAGGAGCAGGCCCAGUCCUGCAGGCAACAAGGUGAUCAGCAGGUGCUUUUGUCCUGCAGGACCUGAAGGCCAACGAGUCCCGCCUGAGGGACAUCAACAAGGUGGCAUCUGAACUGGAGUCAGAAGGUCUGAUGGCUGAGGAGGCUCCUAUGGUUCAGGCUCAGGUGAGCGUCACCUGUCUGCAGCAGCUGGUCCCUCUCACUUCCUGGUUUAACUCUGCUCGUCUCUGUUUGUAGCAACAAGAACAUCUGGGUUCUGCUCCUGGAAAGGUGCGUGUUGUCCUCCGCCUCCACCAGAACCAGACGUGGUGUUUAUGUUACCACUCAUUUGUUUGUUUACAGGAUGAAGCCGACUCUAACACGGCGUCACCCUGGAAGGUGAGUUCAUUCAGCUGAUCAGAGGUCACCUCUGAUGGCAGCAGUCACGGCCGACCGUGCUGACAUCACACAGGAAUUCAGGUGACCCGGCAGGCACCAGGUUUUGGUGAAAGUGGGGACAUGUCAGCUGGUUGCCAUGGCUAGUUAUCUUUAUGCAUCUGUAUGACUGCUGACUGGUGUGUGUUUCCUGUGACCUUUGACCUCAGACCGUACGGUUGGGCGUUCAGACGACGGCUAACUUUAAUUCCAUCAAGGUAAGAGGAAGCUCUUCCCUUCCUGUCUGAGCGAUCCGUCUCCAGGUUUCUUCGUCCGGCGUCCAGCCCGCUGGCGUCCACCUUCAUCUCAUCUCACUUCAUUUAUAGUGCAAUACUUUCACAUUAUCAUUUUCCCACACUUCUGUAUACCUGUAUUUUGUUGUUUUUCAAUAAAGAAUGACAAAUUA